UGGCGGAGGAAGAGGGAUUCGAACCCCCGCGGGCCGUUAAGCCCCUGUUGGUUUUCAAGACCAAUCCCUUCAGCCGGACUUGGGUAUUCCUCC
rnacentral:tRNA from 1 species